rfam:Solanum tuberosum cultivar DM 1-3 516 R44 scf00163_21, whole genome shotgun sequence.
AGACAAUGAGUUGGGCAUUGAAGUAGGAAUUUCUUAAACCUCAACCACGUUUCAUGGAUGGGUUCACCCUCCAAUCGCUUAAAACCUUGAAUGUUAUCUCUGAGUUU